rnacentral:rRNA from 1 species
CGCCUUGCCAGCCCGCUCAGAACUAAAUGAAUUGACGGGGGCCGCACAAGCGGAGGAACAUGUGGUUUAAUUCGAUGAUACGCGAGGAACCUUACCUGGGCUAGAACGCAAUCGGAAUCAGGCCCGAAAGGCCUGCGCCAGCGAUGGCCGCUUGCGAGGUGCUGCAUGGUUGUCGUCAGCUCGUGCCGUGAGGUGUCGGGUUAAGUCCCAUAACGAGCGCAACCCCUACUGCUAGUUGCCAGCGGGUCAUGCCGGGGACUCUAGCGGAACUGCCAGCGUAAGCUGCGAGGAAGGUGGGGAUGACGUCAAAUCAGCACGGCCCUUACGUCCAGGGCUACACACGUGUUACAAUGGCCGGUACAGAGGGCAGCCACCCCGCGAGGGGGCGCGAAUCCCGAAAGCCGGUCCCAGUUCGGAUCGGAGUCUGCAACCCGACUCCGUGAAGCUGGAUUCGCUAGUAAUCGCGCAUCAGCCACGGCGCGGUGAAUACGUUCCCGGGCCUU